UACGAAGGGGGGCUAGCGUUGCUCGGAAUCACUGGGCGUAAAGGGUGCGUAGGCGGGUUUUUAAGUCAGAGGUGAAAUCCUGGAGCUCAACUCCAGAACUGCCUUUGAUACUGAAAGUCUUGAGUAUGGGAGAGGUGAGUGGAACUGCGAGUGUAGAGGUGAAAUUCGUAGAUAUUCGCAAGAACACCAGUGGCGAAGGCGGCUCACUGGCCCAUAACUGACGCUGAGGCACGAAAGCGUGGGGAGCAAACAGG
rnacentral:rRNA from 1 species